GAUGAACGCUGGCGGCGUGCCUAAUACAUGCAAGUCGAGCGAACGGACGAGAAGCUUGCUUCUCUGAUGUUAGCGGCGGACGGGUGAGUAACACGUGGAUAACCUACCUAUAAGACUGGGAUAACUUCGGGAAACCGGAGCUAAUACCGGAUAAUAUUUUGAACCGCAUGGUUCAAAAGUGAAAGACGGUCUUGCUGUCACUUAUAGAUGGAUCCGCGCUGCAUUAGCUAGUUGGUAAGGUAACGGCUUACCAAGGCAACGAUGCAUAGCCGACCUGAGAGGGUGAUCUGCCACACUGGAACUGAGACACGGUCCAGACUCCUACGGGAGGCAGCAGUAGGGAAUCUUCCGCAAUGGGCGUAAGCCUGACGGAGCAACGCCGCGUGAGUGAUGAAGGUCUUCGGAUCGUAAAACUCUGUUAUUAGGGAAGAACAUAUGUGUAAGUAACUGUGCACAUCUUGACGGUACCUAAUCAGAAAGCCACGGCUAACUACGUG
rnacentral:rRNA from 1 species